AUUGCGCAAAAGGCCCAUUUUGAAGAAAUGCGCGGAUCCUCUCCGGGUCGGAUCGGGUUGCACACGGGCAUAGGCUACACGGCACCGUUUUGGGGCCACUGAAACAGGCCCUAAACGACGUCGUUUAAUACUAUAUAAAAGCCCAAAUUCUAAACCCUAAAAUCUCACUCCCCCUGUCACUCAAAAUAGUGCCGCAGCACUCCCCUCUUCCGUUUCGGACCCAUUUCCGACCGGCCACAACAAUAACGACGGCGCUUCGACGGUGAAGGAGAACGUGGAACGGGCAUUGCAGGGCUGCUGAACGUGCGAGCACGACGUGGGCAGUAGAACGGUUGCUGCGGCGUGGGGUGGCUGGUGCCAACUGCUAUUUAGGGUUAGGCUAGGGUUUGCACACUUGGGCCUUUGUGGGCCAAAUGUAAUUGGGUCAGGAUUGGCCCAAGUUUCAUUGGGUUUGAUUGGUUAAUUUGAGCCCAGGCAACAAUUGGGUAUUACACUUCGAUACAAUUAAACCAUGCAAUUUGGGCAAUGCAUUAUUAAAUUUAACGGUUCAGCCA